AUUGAACGCUGGCGGAAUGCUUUACACAUGCAAGUCGAACGGCAGCACGGGUGCUUGCACCUGGUGGCGAGUGGCGAACGGGUGAGUAAUGCAUCGGAACGUGCCAUUGAGUGGGGGAUAACGUAGCGAAAGUUGCGCUAAUACCGCAUAUUCUGUGAGCAGGAAAGCAGGGGACCGCAAGGCCUUGCGCUCUUUGAGCGGCCGAUGUCAGAUUAGCUAGUUGGUGAGGUAACGGCUUACCAAGGCGACGAUCUGUAGCGGGUCUGAGAGGAUGAUCCGCCACACUGGAACUGAGACACGGUCCAGACUCCUACGGGAGGCAGCAGUGGGGAAUUUUGGACAAUGGGCGCAAGCCUGAUCCAGCCAUGCCGCGUGAGUGAAGAAGGCCUCGGUUGUAAAG
rnacentral:rRNA from 1 species